rnacentral:misc_RNA from 1 species
UCUUAGUUGUACCCAUACUUAAUAAGACAAGGGUGGUCUAAAUCUAUUACCGGUAGGUGCAAACUAAACACUGGACCUAGUCAAGGGAGAUAAUUCAAAUCUCAGUGUGUAGAGCACUAAUUAAAUAAUACACAUGUACUAAAAUGAUGAAAUUAUGAAAUGGAAAAAAAAAAUUGAAGUUUUGACAAGUGUGCAGUAAGUAAUUUGUGUAUUACAAUACAUGUACAAUGUAAUACAUCUUUGUCAAGGAAUUUUUGUAAAUAUGUAUACUUUUUUUUGUAACGGUUGAGCCUGAAGGUGUAAAUAGACAAUGGGUUUGUAGUAUUUAUGGUAGAUCUUCCAAAUAUAAGAUGUAGAAAUGAGUACAGAAAACCAUAGAAGACACGAUGUUGUAUAUUUAUUUAAAUACUCAACCAGGAGCUUAAGACAAUAUGAGACGGUCAUUAACAAAUGGUGAAUUAGUCAACAAACCUGAAUAACUAUUCCAGCCCUUUAAACUCAAUUUCAACUUUUUCUUUUAUUUCCUGAUACAUCAAUGGCACAAGUACCUGUACACCUGUAGUAAAGCAUCAUUGUAAAAAAUGAUUACAGAAUGAUUAAGUUACCAUGGUUACUGGUAGAGCACUGUAGAGCAUGGUCGGUUACUAUGUAGUUUCGGUAAUCCAAUGACUACAUUAUGUUUUGAUUACCGUAAUGUAGACACUUUCAAUGUUUAGUCUGGCGACUAUUUAUAUUGAUUUUGUUAUUAUUUUGAACUGUAUCAUGAACUGUUUUAUAUUAAAUGACCAAUACCU